rnacentral:rRNA from 1 species
UACAGAGGGUGCAAGCGUUAAUCGGAAUUACUGGGCGUAAAGCGCAUGUAGGUGGAAGAAUAAGUUUGAUGUGAAAUCCCUGGGCUUAACCUGGGAAUGGCGUUGAAGACUGUUGUUCUAGAGUUUGACAGAGGGUCGUGGAAUUUCCGGUGUAGCGGUGAAAUGCGUAGAUAUCUGGAAGAACACCAAUGGCGAAGGCAAUGUUCUGGCUCGUUUCUGACGCUCAGGUGCGAAAGCCAGGGGAGCGAACGGG